rnacentral:rRNA from 1 species
UACGGGGGGGGCAAGCGUUGUUCGGAAUUACUGGGCGUAAAGGGCCCGUAGGCGGCCAACUAAGUCGGAUGUGAAAUCCCCAGGCUCAACUUGGGAACUGCAUCCGAUACUGGAUGGCUUGAAUUCGGGAGAGGGAUGCAGAAUUCCAGGUGUAGCGGUGAAAUUCGUAGAUAUCAGGAGGAACACCGGUGGCGAAGGCGGCUUUCUGGACAAUUACUGACGCUGAGACGCGAAAGCAUGGGGAGCAAACAGG